rnacentral:lncRNA from 1 species
CUCCAGAGAGCCAACAUAGUAGAUUGUCACUUUCAAACUCCAAAUAGCCAACAUGUCACUUUCAGGUGCUCCAGCUAACAUUAAGUCCCGGAUCCUGGGCAAGUGCACCCAUAAAGAUAUAGCCUGAUCUUAACAAACAUUUCGUUCUCCUUGGACAGACAUCCUUAGAAUUCCCACUCAUAGAUGUGUCCCAGAUUCCUCCCUAUGGAAAUUAGCAAGAUGCUUGGUUAUCUCUUAAAUCAGACCUUGUACUGCUAUCUAGGGGCUAUGCUGAGAUCUCUGGGCCUGGAGGGUUCAGAGCAGUGAAGGGGGUGGCUGCUGAGAAGAAGCUGCAUACCUGUGUGAGGCCAUUGCUCCAGGUUAAGUCAUUGAAAUGUUUAAUGCAGAGCAGCUUGGUUGGGGAUUUGAGAGGACUGCCUCUUAGAAAGGUUUAGGAGGAUAUGAGGGGUUCAGAGUUCUCUUUUAUAUCUGUCCAGAUGUCCUCAUUGUACCAUGUCUGGAGCCAACUUGACUUUAUAACCUUUAAUUAAUUUAGAUAACACAUUUCCGUACUGUUUAAGGCCUUUUGAGGCAAGAUAUUGUAUUUGUACUGGUAAACCUCAGUGUUGAUUAAAUGAGAUAUGGGUCUUCAUAUUAAUCACCUCAUAGGUGCGGAUUAAAUGAGAUCAUACCCAUGAAGCAUUUAGAACUUUCCCUGCUACAUGGUGAGCACUCAGCAAACCAUGGGCUGUUACUCCUGGGCCAGGGAACAGAAGUCUCAGAAAGCAAGUCUCUGACUCUGAGCCUGGCUUUAGUAGGAAAAUGUCAGCGUGAAGAGGAGCAGAGCAGGUUCAGGGAGAAUGGAAAUGAGAGCAUGAUAAGACCCCAUUUACUUUUUGGAGUCUUAUAUGAAGCAAGAAACAAAGCUGUUUUACGUGGUGGACAGGCAAAGUUCAGGGUAGGAGUUAUAUCUCACCCCUAGGAUAGCUGUUUCUGGAGGGUGGGGACAGGGUUGCGUAUGACUUAAUAAAAGAGGCUGAGGCUUGGGUGGAAAUGAGAUCUGGGGCUCUUCAGGGAGCUGCCGCCUCCAAAUCUGAAUCAAGGAGACAGCUGGUUAUUUAGAAUUCAUUGAUCACUUCUCCCAGUCUCCUUGGAAAAUAUACAAAACCCCUUGGAAGAGAGAGAUUAUAUUUGAGACAUAAUAUGUGUGAGGCCAGAUAAUUACACUUUCUUCCUAACUAGAAAGGCCUUGAAUUGGGGAUAAAUGUGGAAAAGUGAGCAAGAUCUAAAAGGUAAAGGAUCCAGUGAGACCAAAAGUCAUUUAUUCCAAACUGAUUAUGGCCCAGUUAUGCUGAGUGGAGUUACAGAAACAUCUUUGAAUAAAAUGUGAUCUCUGCCUUCAUAGCGAGUCCAGUCUGCUGCUUUUACUGUGCCCUGGGUCAGAACUUUGAUGAUUAGUUACAGGAAAGGGCCAGGAAGAGAAUCUGGGCUGUGAUUAGAUCUGGGAAUGACCUUUCUGGGGUGGAAGUUGAGGACAUAUGAGUAGGUGUUCUGUGGAGGAAGGGAGGUUCAGUAAGGAUGCCAUGCCAAGGCAGCAUCUGAAUGGCAUCUGGGAGAACUAGGCCAGGGAGCUUCUGUGAUCUGAAGUGUACAUUUCCUGAGUAUGUGUGCAUGUGCACAUGAGCUUGCUGUGACCCAGUAUGUGUGUGCUCUGUGUGUGUGUGUGUUAAGUGAUGUCCUUCUUACAUCAUGGACAAACAGGUUAUGCUGUGAGAUGCAGAAAAGGGAUUCUGGUUACUUUGGGGGCAGAUUCUGCAAUAAAAGCGCAGAUACUGGCAAGGGCUCCACCACCCAGGGAGGAAUUCAUGAUAAUGGCAUAAAGCAUGGCAAAAAAGAAGGAAGAAGUAGAAGUAUGUCUAAGGAUAAAAGUGCCACUUUGAUCAAAACUAUUAAAAAUAGGUAGGAAUGCUGAAUAAAUAUGAACUUAGACCCUGAAUUCUCAUUUUGGGCGUAAUAGACUUGAAAUGGCCGCUGAAAUUAUACUAUCAAUGAAAUGAAAUUAGUCAUAUUAAAUGUCGUAAUCAUUUAAUCGUAUUAAAUAUACCAAUAUAUCUUUGGACUCUUCUAUUCAUUUGAAUAGAUAAGCACUGCCAUCUAUUAAGUCCGUGUUGCUGUAUCCUGCAGAAUGGUAUAUAAAGCUAGAGGUACUUUAUGCACAUGUAUAUUUGAUUAUUUUCUGCUAUUAAAGCAUGGCUAAAACCUCAGUAAUUUGGAAGUAGGCAGAUUAGAGGGAGAAGUCUUGUUGAAGUUAGUGGGAUAUUUGCAUAAAAAUGCGCUUAAAUUUUUUUCUUGUUUUUUUGUUUUAUUUUGUUUUGUUUGUUUUGUUUUUUUUGUUGUUGUGUUUUUGUUGUUGUUGUUGUUGUUUUGAAACGGAGUCUCGCUCCGUCGCCCAGGCUGGAGUGCAGUAGCACAAUCUCGGCUCACUGCAACCUCUGUCUCCUGGGUUCAAGUGAUUCUCCUGCCUCAGCCUCCCGAGUAGCUGGGAUGACAAAUGCCCGCCACAGUGCCUGGCUAAUUUUUGUAUUUUUAGCAGAGAUGGGGUUUUGCCAUGUUGGCCAAGCUGACCUCGAACUCCUGACCUCAUGAUUCACCCGCCUCGGCCUCCCAAAGUGCUGGGAUUACAGGUGUGAGCCACCGCACCCGGCCUCUUGGUUCUUAAAGUGAGUAAAGCAAAGCUAAUAAAGCUGUAUUAAUUAAAGGUUCUGAGAAUGUUUUCCUUGAUGGUAAGGGUGGGAUAAUUGUAUGAAGAAUCUUUAUUAUUUGCUUUGAAAUAUGGAUUUUGCUAAGUCAGGGUUUAGUGUCUGGCAGCAGUUUGCAUUACUGAAUAGCUCAAGUAUAUUCCCUGCAGUCUUAGCCCACGUAGUUCUAAAGGUAGGUACAAUGGUGUCCUUUGACAGUGCUGGUAACCCUCCAUCUCCCUUCAUGAACAUCUGAUCAUCUACCUUGCAUUUUUUUCUGUUGCCUAAAAUGCCUGUUAGAAUGUGUUC